rnacentral:rRNA from 1 species
AUUGAACGCUGGCGGCAGGCCUAACACAUGCAAGUCGAACGGUAACAGGCAGACGCUUGCUUCUUUUCUGCCGAGUGGCGGACGGGUGAGUAAUGUCUGGCAGACCGCCUGCUGGAGGGGGACAACUACUGGAAACGGUAGCUAAUACCGCUUAGCGUCGAAGGACCAAAGAGGGGGCCCUUCGGGCCUCUUGCCAUCGGAUGUGCCCAGCUGGGAUUAGCUAGUAGGUGGGGUAACGGCUCACCUAGGCGACGAUCCCUAGCUGGUCUGAGAGGAUGACCAGCCACACUGGAACUGAGACACGGUCCAGACUCCUACGGGAGGCAGCAGUGGGGAAUAUUGCACAAUGGGCGCAAGCCUGAUGCAGCCAUGCCGCGUGUAUGAAGAAGGCCUUCGGGUUGUAAAGUACUUUCAGCGGGGAGGAAGGGAGUAAAGUUAAUACCUUGGCUCAUUGACGUUACCCGCAGAAGAAGCACCGGCUAACUACGUG